rnacentral:tRNA from 1 species
GAGGGUAUAGCUCUGUGGCAGAGCGCAUGCUUAGCAUGCACAAGGUCCUGAGUUCAAUCCCCAGUACCUUCA